CCUACGGGUGGCAGCAGUCGAGAAUCAUUCACAAUGGGGGAAACCCUGAUGGUGCGACGCCGCGUGGGGGAAGAAGUAAUUCGUUAUGUAAAGCUCUAUCAGCAGGGAAGAAAAUGACGGUACCUGAGUAAGAAGCCCCGGCUAACUACGUGCCAGCAGCCGCGGUAAUACGUAGGGGGCAAGCGUUAUCCGGAUUUACUGGGGUGAAAGGGAGCGUAGACGGCAGUGCAAGUCUGGAGUGAAAGGCGGGGGCUCAACCCCCGGACUGCUCUGGAAACUGUACGGCUGGAGUGCAGGAGAGGGAAGUGGAAUUCCUAGUGUAGCGGGGAAAUGCGUAGAUAUUAGGAGGAACACCAGUGGCGAAGGCGGCUUACUGGACUGUAACUGACGUUGAGGCUUGAAAGCGUGGGGAGCAAACAGGAUUAGAUACCCUUGUAGUC
rnacentral:rRNA from 1 species